rnacentral:lncRNA from 1 species
AUGAGAGGAGUGGUGCGUUGUGCAAAGAGAAAACACAGUGUAGAAAGGAAGGACCUCCGAUGGCAACCCCCAGCUAAACCUCCCAGAAUGGAGGAACAUGUGCAGCUGGGGAGUAAGAGGAAGCACAGCCAAGACAGGAGGGACCUCCAGUGGCAACCCCCCGCUAAACGUCCAAGGAUGGAUGAACACCCAGCGGUGGAAGGGAGCACACUUAACAAAUGGGCGCAAAACCAUCAGGUGCGCCCCAGGAGGAACAAAUACCAUCCAAGGCAUGGAGGCCAACCCAACAAGUGGGUGCGGAACAUAAACGUGCCUCCUGUGCAAGAGAACACGCGGCCCGCGAGCAGGUACCCACCCAAAGAAUGGGGGCAGACCAGCAGGGUACCGGCUCUGGAAGACAACUUCCACAGAAGGCACAGGGGCCCACCAACCAAAUGGGUGCGAACUGUCAAGGGGAUGCCUGCAGAAGACAACCCCCAGUCCCUGAGACAGCCAAGGCAUGGCAGCCGGACAAAUGAAAGGCUGCAGACCACCGUGCCACCUGCAGGAGAACAUGGCCAGCCCAGGAACAGCGGCCAACCACAAAAAUGGGUGCACACCAGCAAGGUGCCACCAUCAGAGCAAAACGUCCAGGUCGUGAACGGGGACCCCAACAAAACAUGGGCGAGGACCAGCAAAGUGCCACCAGCACAAGACAACGUCCAGCCCGCAAAAUGGGAUCCAUCAAAAAAAUGGGUGAGGACCAUCACAGUGGCACCUGACAGGCAAGACCAUGUCCAACCCACAUACAGGGACCCUGAGAAGAAACGGGGGAGGACAGGCAAUGUGCCACCCUCGAAGGACAACAGCUGGGCCACAAACAGGGACUGGCUGAAACAGCGGGUGCAGCCUGUGCAGGUGCCACCCGCAGAGGAUGAUGUCCUGCCCAUGGACGUGGACUCUCCAGAAGGUGAGAUCCAGGUAAGGCAGGUGGGGCCACCUCCAGAAAGGCUGGCAAGGCCUCACUACGAUGCCAGGCCUGGGAGACACGUGAGGAAUCAUUGCUCACGCCGUUCCUGGAGGCCCUGGCAUGACACGGAGCCUCAGGCUGGGCCCAGCUCCUUGCCCAUGGCUCAGCACCCCGACAGCAGGCAGACGCCGGGGCCGCCAAGAUGGGAGUCCCGCAGGUGGAGGAAGUGGAGACGGCGUAGCGCAGCCGGCCUGCGUUCGUCUCCUGGCCGCCAAUAA